rnacentral:rRNA from 1 species
AAUGAACGCUGGCGGCAGGCCUAACACAUGCAAGUCGAGCGCCCCGCAAGGGGAGCGGCAGACGGGUGAGUAACGCGUGGGAAUCUACCCAUAUCUACGGAAUAACCCAUGGAAACGGGUCCUAAUACCGUAUACGUCAUUCGGGAGAAAGAUUUAUCGGAGAUGGAUGAGCCCGCGUUGGAUUAGCUAGUUGGUGGGGUAAAGGCCUACCAAGGCGACGAUCCUUAGCUGGUCUGAGAGGAUGAUCAGCCACACUGGGACUGAGACACGGCCCAGACUCCUACGGGAGGCAGCAGUGGGGAAUAUUGGACAAUGGGCGCAAGCCUGAUCCAGCCAUGCCGCGUGAGUGAUGAAGGCCCUAGGGUUGUAAAGCUCUUUCACCGGUGAAGAUAAUGACGGUAACCGGAGAAGAAGCCCCGGCUAACUUCGUGCCAGCCGCCGCGGUAACAC